GAUGAACGCUAGCGGCAGGCCUAAUACAUGCAAGUCGAACGAUAUUAAGGGGCUUGCUCCUUAAGAAAGUGGCGCACGGGUGCGUAACGCGUAUGCAACCUACCUUAAUCAGGGGGAUAGCCCGAAGAAAUUCGGAUUAACACCGCAUAAAAACACAGGAUAGCAUUAUCCAAUGUUCAAAUAUUUAUAGGAUUAAGAUGGGCAUGCGUGUCAUUAGCUAGUUGGCGGGGUAACGGCCCACCAAGGCGACGAUGACUAGGGGAUCUGAGAGGAUGACCCCCCACACUGGUAUUGAGACACGGACCAGACUCCUACGGGAGGCAGCAGUAAGGAAUAUUGGUCAAUGGAGGCAACUCUGAACCAGCCAUGCCGCGUGCAGGAAGACUGCCCUAUGGGUUGUAAACUGCUUUUAUCCGGGAAUAAACCUUUCUACGUGUAGGAAGCUGAAUGUACCGGAAGAAUAAGGAUCGGCUAACUCCGUGCCAGCAGCCGCAGUAAUAC
rnacentral:rRNA from 1 species